UACGUAGGGGGCAAGCGUUGUCCGGAAUCAUUGGGCGUAAAGCGCGUGUAGGCGGCCCGGUAAGUCCGCUGUGAAAGUCGGGGGCUCAACCCUCGAGACGCCGGUGGAAACCGUAAGGCUAGAGUCCGGAAGAGGAGAGUGGAAUUCCUGGUGUAGCGGUGAAAUGCGCAGAUAUCAAGAAGAACACCCGUGGCGAAGGCGGCUCUCUGGGACGGUACUGACGCUGAGACGCGAAAGCGUGGGGAGCGAACAGG
rnacentral:rRNA from 1 species